rnacentral:rRNA from 1 species
UUUAGAGUUUGAUCCUGGCUCAGAUUGAACGCUAGCGGGAUGCCUUACACAUGCAAGUCGAACGGCAGCGCGGACUUCGGUCUGGCGGCGAGUGGCGAACGGGUGAGUAAUGUAUCGGAACGUGCCCAGUAGCGGGGGAUAACUACGCGAAAGCGUAGCUAAUACCGCAUACGCCCUACGGGGGAAAGCGGGGGACCUUCGGGCCUCGCACUAUUGGAGCGGCCGAUAUCGGAUUAGCUAGUUGGUGGGGUAACGGCUCACCAAGGCGACGAUCCGUAGCUGGUUUGAGAGGACGACCAGCCACACUGGGACUGAGACACGGCCCAGACUCCUACGGGAGGCAGCAC